GAGCAUCUGCCUUACAAGCAGGGGGUCACAGGUUCGAGCCCUGUAUCCUCCA
rnacentral:tRNA from 1 species